CCUCUGUCACGCUGGAAAUCGCCUCCAGCGGCAGUGAAGGCUCAAUCACUAAGACAAACAUACCGAAAGAACCUUCUUACCUCACUGAACCUUAAUCUAAGCUUUGAUUCCAUUAAUUCCUCACCAAAUUCAUGAGUCGAGUGAAAUAAAGUAAAAGCCCUAAAUCUAAAAUUCGAAAUUAAACGCCAUAGAGUAAUGAAAUGGAGUCCAAACCAUAGAGGUUUGGCUCCUUAUACAAAAGUCUACAUCACAACAAAGAGAACUGAGCAAGAAGUAUGAUUUUCACCAAACUUCGAAGCGGAGAUAUGCUUCGAUCAAAGUUGCACAGUGUGAAGACGAUGAAGCUCAAGAAAAUACCAGAGAAUUGCGAAUAUAAUUCAAACUCUAAUUCAAACUCUUGCUCCUUAUGCGCUUAAUUCCUCUUCUUCUUUUUCUGUAGAUUUUAGGGCACGAGUAUGUAAUGCCGUGUCUGUGAGAGAGUGCAGAGAGAAGAGAGGAGAGUGAGAUUGAUGAUGAUGGUGAUGUCGAGUGAUGGAGAGGUUGAAGUCUGGACUCAUAGUGAAAUUGUGAGAUUGAAGGUAUAAUUUUGUGAAAAAAUGGUGAUCCUGAACCUGAGAAUUGAAGGAUAAAUUUAUAGGCAUCAAUCUUAAUAGAGUUUAACUUUGUUAAACUAAUCUAUGAGUAAUUCAGUUGUAUAGUUAACUCUGAACUUUGGAGAUUCAUGCAAAAUUAGAUAGAUGUUAAUCUGUUGAAUUAUUAGUUUCCAAUUGUGUUAUGACAGUUGGAUGUUAGCUAGUUAGUUUUAGGUUAGUUAGUAAGUUAGUUGAAGUUAAAAAACUGUUAAGUUGAUGUUAGUGAUUCUGUUAGUUAGUUAAUGAAUUAGAGACUUUAGUUAGAUUUGCUGUUAAUUGAAGUUAGAAUGUUAGUGUUUUUGGCUCUGUCGUUUUCAUCACUAUGUUGCUGUUAGAACUCUGCUAGCAGAAGUUAAAGUUAGUUACAGGGUUAGAAAUGUAAUUAGAAAACUUGGUUAGUUAUGUUAGUUAAACUGUUAGAAGCUUGUUUUAGGGCCUGCACAUGUAUUAUUAGUAGUUAGUAGUGAUCAUUGAAGUUGGAAUUAAUAUGGUCGUUAGGACCUGCUAAAUUAGUAGUGAUGUUGAACUGAUGAUUGGGCUUAGUGUGACAGUUAAUAAAAAUGGGAAAGUUGUUAAGAAGUUAUACAGGUUAUGUCUUGGAUUGGAUACCAGGUGAAUUAGAACUGUUGUUGUGAAAUGGUAUUGAUAUGAUGUUUUAGUUUUAGACUGAAUAUAGCAAUAAAGUUGAAUGUCAUGUAUGCUUAUUGUUUAUUAAUGGUCUAUUUGAACUCAAAUCAAUUAGAAUGGACCAUGUUAUGAACUCAAAUGUUGUUAGGGUUGUUAAUGUAAAUCUGAAAUUGAAUUGGAUGUAUUAGGUUAUCAUGCUUUGAUUUUUGCCUGUAUAUGACAGUAGGGACUUGGUAUUAUGAUGAGAAUAUGGAAACAUGAAGAAAGCAUAGCCAUGAAGUCAAAAGAGAAUAUGGAAACAUUAAGAAUCAAAGUGAAAAUUAGAAUUAGGACUAGGCAUUAGGUCAGUUGACUUUUCUCAACUGAUUGACCAAAAAGUCAAUAGUUGACCAAAGUCAAUUGUAGGUCAAAGUCAAUUUUUUUUUGUAUUUUUUGUAUGGAUACUUGUAAAUGGUAUUGUAUGAAUGAAAUGAACACUUUUGGAUGAAAAUAGUUCUUUGAUGUAAUGAAACAUGUCCCUUAUUUUCAAAU
rnacentral:lncRNA from 1 species